ACGUUCGGGUUCCGCGGGACGGGGCCGCCCCGCGAGGGACGGCGCCGCCCCGGGGCUCGUGAUAUCUCAUCUCGCCGCCCGUCGCGAGGCGGACGGAGGGAUGGAUGAGGUUACCUGGAAAAAUCGGGGCGAUCUAGGCGGGCGAACCUCGCCAACGAACGAUCGGACAUGGGAUAACGGAAGAGGGCGUCGGCUCGACUUCGUCGGUUCCUCGGGCCGAGGCACGUACGGUGAAUAGGGACGGUCGGGGCCGCCCGUACCGGGGUCGUGAGAGGUGAAAAUUCUAGGAUCGACCCGAGACGAACCGCCGCGAAAGCAUUCGGCAAGGACGCUUUCAUUAAUCAAGAACGAAAGUCGGGGGAUCGAAGACGAUCAGAUACCGUCGUAGUCCCGACCGUAAACGAUGCCGACCGAGGGCCCGGAGGAGUUACGUACGACCCUCCGGGCCCUCCCGCGAGAAAUCAGGAGUAUUCGGGUUCCGGGG
rnacentral:rRNA from 1 species